rnacentral:rRNA from 1 species
AUACGUAGGUGGCGAGCGUUGUCCGGAAUUACUGGGUGUAAAGGGAGCGCAGGCGGGGAGACAAGUUGGAUGUGAAAUACCGAGGCUCAACCUCGGGGCUGCAUCCAAAACUGUCUUUCUUGAGUGAAGUAGAGGUAGGCGGAAUUCCGAGUGUAGCGGUGGAAUGCGUAGAUAUUCGGAGGAACACCAGUGGCGAAGGCGGCCUACUGGGCUUUAACUGACGCUGAGGCUCGAAAGUGUGGGGAGCAAACAGGAUUAGAUACCCUGGUAGUCCACACUGUAAACGAUGAUUACUAGGUGUGGGGGGUCUGACCCCCUCUGUGCCGCAGUUAACGCAAUAAGUAAUCCACCUGGGGAGUACGAUCGCAAGGUUGAAACUCAAAUGAAUUGACGGGG